GAGUUUGAUCUUGGCUCAGAACGAACGCUGGCGGCGUGGAUAAGACAUGCAAGUCGAGCGAUCAUUACGGGGUAGCAAUAUUCCGUGGUGGGAGCGGCGCAAGGGUGCGUAACACGUGGGUAAUCUGCCAUGAAGUUUGGGAUAAUCCCGCGAAAGCGGGACUAAUACCGGAUGUGACCAUUGGGAGGCCUCUUUUGAUGGUUAAAGUUGGGGACCGUAAGGCCUGACGCUUCAUGAUGAGCCCGCGGCCUAUCAGCUAGUUGGUGAGGUAACGGCUCACCAAGGCGAAGACGGGUAGCUGGUCUGAGAGGACGAUCAGCCACACUGGGACUGAGACACGGCCCAGACUCCUACGGGAGGCAGCAGUGGGGAAUAUUGGACAAUGGGCGAAAGCCUGAUCCAGCAAUGCCGCGUGAGUGAUGAAGGCCUUAGGGUUGUAAAGCUCUUUACCCGGGAUGAUAAUGACAGUACCGGGAGAAUAAGCCCCGGCUAACUCCGUGCCAGCAGCCGCCGU
rnacentral:rRNA from 1 species